rnacentral:rRNA from 2 species
AUGAAUUGACGGGGGCCCGCACAAGCGGUGGAGCAUGUGGUUUAAUUCGAUGCAACGCGAAGAACCUUACCUGGUCUUGACAUCCACAGAACUUUCCAGAGAUGGAUUGGUGCCUUCGGGAACUGUGAGACAGGUGCUGCAUGGCUGUCGUCAGCUCGUGUUGUGAAAUGUUGGGUUAAGUCCCGCAACGAGCGCAACCC